GUGGUUGAAACAAAUGAUGACUCACGUGAAGAGACUUACAAAGGAGUAAGAUGUAAGUUUAAUCUUUAUAAUCCAGAGAUUAAACAACCACAACAUUCAUCAGGAGUAAUGAUGAUUCAAAAUACUGAUGACCGUAUACAAGUUGGAUGGACGGUUAAUCCAGGAUUAAAUAAUGACAAGCGUACUCAUCUUUUUCAAUUCUUUAUUGCUAACAAAACCCGGUGUUUCAAUAUGUUAUGUCCUGGAUUUGUAAGCACGAGUUCAAAUGUUCCAAUUGACGCGGCAUAUGACGGUGUAUCAGUAAGAGGAGGCACUCAAGGGUAUAUUACAACUUCCGUUUAUCAGGCGAGUACAAAAUCUUUCUUAAUUAAAUGUGCAUAUAUAUAUAUAUAUAUUAUUUACAUUGAAUAAUGGGUUUGUAAUUGUUUGUAAAUUAAAAAGGAUCCGAAUACGGGGCAUUGGUGGCUAGAAUUAAGAGACGGGCGGUAUUCAUACGCAAUGGUUGGAUAUUGGCCACGAGAAAUAUUUACAAUGUUAGGAUACACAGCAAGCUACAUUGCAGUUGGCGGGGAAGCAUACAAUUCACAAUAUGAGCCUCUCACACCCAUGGGGAAUGGCUAUUUUCCUAAAGCAGAUGCUCAACUAUCUGCACAUUGUGGUCGUUUUGCUGUUCUAAAUGAAGAUCAUAAAGUGGUGGAUCCUGAUCAAACUGACUUAUUAGUUACCAAUUCCAGCUAUGGUGUCAUUGAUGUUAAAGAUUAUGGCGAUCUAGGCCGAACUGUCUUCUUUGGAGGAACAACAAGAGACUAGCUUAGUACUCCUAGCUAGGAGGGAUCGAUUGUAAACAAAAUUAAACAAUUGUAAUAAUAAAUGUUUGAAUUGUUUUUCUGUAAUUUACUUGUAUAUAUAUUCAAAAGUUGGUUGUUUACCUGCUAGGUAAGAGGCUAUUCUGAGUAAAUAACUUCACACUUUUGAUUUACACAACUUCACACUUUUGAUGUUUCAAAAA